ACCGAAAUAGCUCAGUUGGGAGAGUGUUAGACUAUAGAUCGAAAGGUCCCAGGUUCAAUCCUGGGAUUCAGCA
rnacentral:tRNA from 1 species